GGGUUUCGAGACCUUAAAAUCAGUUGGCUUUUAACCAAUUGGUCGUAGGUUCGAAUCCCACACGACCCACCA
rnacentral:tRNA from 2 species